rnacentral:rRNA from 1 species
GACGAACGCUGGCGGCGUGCUUAACACAUGCAAGUCGAGCGAUGAGGCUCUUUCGGGAGUGGAUUAGCGGCGGACGGGUGAGUAACACGUGGGUAACCUGCCUCAUAGAGGGGAAUAGCCUUCCGAAAGGAAGAUUAAUACCGCAUAUGGUAGCUUUAUCGCAUGAUAGUGCUAUUAAAGGAGCAAUCCGCUAUGAGAUGGACCCGCGUCGCAUUGGCUAGUUGGUGAGGUAACGGCUCACCAAGGCGACGAUGCGUAGCCGACCUGAGAGGGUGAUCGGCCACAUUGGGACUGAGACACGGCCCAGACUCCUACGGGAGGCAGCAGCGGGGAAUAUUGCACAAUGGGGGAAACCCUGAUGCAGCAACGCCGCGUGAGUGAUGACGGUCUUCGGAUUGUAAAGCUCUGUCUUCAGGGACGAUAAUGACGGUACCUGAGGAGGAAGCCACGGCUAACUACGUGCCAGCAGCCGCGGUAA